UUUAUUUGACACCGUUGACUUUCUAGCACAUGUUUGACCGUUCGUCUUAUUCAAAAAAUUUAAAUAAUUAUUAAUUAUUUUCCUAUCAUUUGAUUGAUUGUUAAAUAUACUUUUAUGCAUACGUAUAGUUUUACAUAUUUCACAAAAGUUUUUAAAUAAGACGAACAGUUAAACAUGUGCUAAAAAGUCAACGGUGUCAAAUAAA
rnacentral:pre_miRNA from 1 species